rnacentral:rRNA from 1 species
UACGAAGGGGGCUAGCGUUGCUCGGAAUCACUGGGCGUAAAGCGCACGUAGGCGGCGCCGUAAGUCAGGGGUGAAAUCCCGGAGCUCAACUCCGGAACUGCCCUUGAAACUGCAGUGCUAGAAUCUUGGAGGGGCGAGUGGAAUUCCGAGUGUAGAGGUGAAAUUCGUAGAUAUUCGGAAGAACACCAGUGGCGAAGGCGACUCGCUGGACAAGUAUUGACGCUGAGGUGCGAAAGCGUGGGGAGCAAACAGG